AAAAACCUCUCUCUUCUUUGGAUUCUAGAGAGAGAGAGUCUGACCUCUCUCUAGAAUCCGGUCGUCUUCUCCGGUCAUGCUCAGCUUCUCCGGCGCGGUGGCCGGCCACCUCAAGGUGGCGGCGCCGCCGCCGGAAAAUUUUCCUUGCUCCGAUUCAAAAAAAUUUUACAUUUUCAAACAUCCUUUUUUUCUCCUAUGCAUGAAUCUGAGCUUAGUUUUUUGAAAAAGAAUUUCAACCGGAGUAGAUCUGAGUUUGAAGUUGCGGUUUUGAAUGAAGUUUCUCUUUGUUCUUUGUGAUUUUUUGGUUACGUGCUUCUAGAAUCCUACAGAUUUACACUUGAUUCUCCUUUUUUAUCUGUUCUUGCGGAAAAAAAGGUGAAGUUUGAGUUUUACCUGUGGUUUUCUUGGUGAUUCCGAACCGGAUCUUCAAGGAAAGCUUGAUUUUAAUCUUGUUCCGUUGAUUCUGGCUUGGUUUCUUGCUGUUCCGAUCCUCUCUUCUUCUUCACAGGUUCGAUAUGUUGAUUUUCGUCCCUCUUCUUCAUCUCCG
rnacentral:lncRNA from 1 species